CAGCCGCCACGGGAAUACAGAGGGUGCGAGCGUUAAUCGGAUUUACUGGGCGUAAAGCGUGCGUAGGCGGCUUCUUAAGUCGGAUGUGAAAUCCCUGAGCUUAACUUAGGAAUUGCAUUCGAUACUGGGAAGCUAGAGUAUGGGAGAGGAUGGUAGAAUUCCAGGUGUAGCGGUGAAAUGCGUAGAGAUCUGGAGGAAUACCGAUGGCGAAGGCAGCCAUCUGGCCUAUACUGACGCUGAGGUACGAAAGCAUGGGGAGCAAACAGGAUUAGAUACCCCUGUAGUCCCUGUCUCUUAUACA
rnacentral:rRNA from 1 species